GGUUUGACCAUCAACAAGGGAGACCCGGGGACAAAGCUUGCCCUGCCCGAACCGCCCCCGUGCCCUGAGUAGCAGGACCCCUGCUGUGGCCCCCAGGACAGGCCGGACCCGCCCCUCUGCCCCCCAGCUGUCUCCUGGGAACCCGGAACUGGCUCCGGCACCCGGUGACCGGCUCUGAGACGCCAGUCCGCCGGCUUCCCGCCGUGGGCCUCGCUGGGACAAGGCCCUUUCUCCAGUCCCCACCGCUCUGUUCUCUGCCUUUGGAUUUUGUCUGCGGCGAGCGGCCAGGCCGGUGUGUUUGGGACCCCGGAGCCGGGCGCCCUGCGCCCCUGCGCUCCGGCUACGCUCCAGACAGGAAGGAAAGUGGACAGAGUUGGAACCACUGACCCGCAGCCUGGGAAGGAGGAGGCCUGGUGGUCACAGACCCUCUGGGACCGCUGUAGGGGACGCUGGGCACGGUGAGACGUGGCCGCGAAGCUCACACCGCCAGCGCUUUGGGAGGGGUUCUCUACAGGGCAGGGAAGGACAGAGUCCCGACUCAGCCAGCGAAGGAAAGCCAGCUGCCUUUAAGUAGCGAUUAGGGUGAAACUCUGUGUUAGGGACCGAACGGCGUCCCCUCAACUGUGUCACAUGUUGGAGCCCUGGCCUGGGGGCCCCGGAAGGAGGAAAAGCCCCCCUGCCGACACCGUGGUCUGGGCUUCCAGCCCGUGGACCGUGAGGAUGUCAGGCCGGGCGGUUCCAGGCCUGGCGUGCGGCGCUCCAUCAGGGUCGUGGUCCCCAGGGCCCUGAGCAGCUGCAAACGAAGGCUCCAGGAUGUCACGUGGUCUCUGCUCUCUCCUGCGUCCUGUCCACAGCCCUGGGCCGUAAGUGAACAGGAUCUGAGUUACCCACCGCGCAGUCCUCACCCACCGUCUUAGGGUUCUGGCGGCUCCGCCCAUGACACCCACACCUGUUACCUCAGCUCAGGUCAUGAUCUCCGGUUGGUGGGUUCGAGCCCCACGUCGGGCUCUGUGCUGACACCUUGGGGCCAG